CUUCCUUAUUCUUUGAUUUUGCUCUAAUUGUAAUUUAGCUUUAUUUCAUCUUGCAUGUGGAUUUUUUCCGCAUACUUGUGUUUUUUCUACGCUGAAACUCUCAGUAGAAUCAGUGAUGAUAAGCUCGUUGUAAAUCACUGAUUUUGUGUUUUCAUUUUCGUAUCUAGGUUCGUUGGUUUCGAAGAAAUUGCUUCUUCUGUUGCUUAGAUAUUGUCGAUAAAGAAAUGUAGUAGAGCGCGCAUUUGGCGUUUGGAAAGCAAAGAUGGUCUAUUUUGAGAGACAUGCCAUACUAUCACAUUGACACACAAAGGGACAUCGUACUUGCUACUAUGGCCAUUCACAAUUAUAUUAGAAAGAAAUGCAAUGUGGAUGAUGCAUUCCAAACAGUGAGAAUGAGAGCUAUAUUCCAUCGGUUGAUUCUAAUGAUAUUGGCACAACUUCAAGAGCUAACAAUGUAGAUGUCGAAGAUGUAGGAGAACAAAAUGAUGUCUAUUGGAUGGGGUUUCGUGAUAUGAUUGCUAGUGACAUUUCUAAUGCUUGAUGCUUGUAUUAUAUGAAUAUUUUCCACUUCUUGUAUUUAUAGUGGAGUGCUUUCGGUUGUAUUA